AACGAACGCUGGCGGCAUGCCUAACACAUGCGAGUCGAACGAGACCUUCGGGUCUAGUGGCGCACGGGUGCGUAACGCGUGGGAAUCUGCCCUUGGGUUCGGAAUAACAGUUGGAAACGACUGCUAAUACCGGAUGAUGACGUAAGUCCAAAGAUUUAUCGCCCAGGGAUGAGCCCGCGUAGGAUUAGCUAGUUGGUGGGGUAAAGGCCUACCAAGGCGACGAUCCUUAGCUGGUCUGAGAGGAUGAUCAGCCACACUGGGACUGAGACACGGCCCAGACUCCUACGGGAGGCAGCAGUGGGGAAUAUUGGACAAUGGGCGAAAGCCUGAUCCAGCAAUGCCGCGUGAGUGAUGAAGGCCUUAGGGUUGUAAAGCUCUUUUACCCGGGAUGAUAAUGACAGUACCGGGAGAAUAAGCCCCGGCUAACUCCGUG
rnacentral:rRNA from 1 species